rnacentral:rRNA from 1 species
UACCAGCACCCCGAGUGGUCGGGACGAUUAUUGGGAGUAAAGGAUUCGUAGGCGGUUUUGUAAGUAAAUCGUUAAAUCCAGCUGCUCAACAGAUGGGCCGCGGAGGAUACUACAGAGCUAGGAGGCAGGAGAGGCAAGCGGUACUCAGUGGGUAGGGGUAAAAUCCGUUGAUCCAUUGAAGACCACCAGUGGCGAAGGCGGCUUGCCAGAACGCGCUCGACGGUGAGGGAUGAAAGCUGGGGGAGCAAACCGG